rnacentral:rRNA from 1 species
UGCCUCAUAGCGGGGGAUAACUAUUGGAAACGAUAGCUAAUACCGCAUAAGAGUAAUUAACACAUGUUAGUUAUUUAAAAGGAGCAAUUGCUUCACUGUGAGAUGGACCUGCGUUGUAUUAGCUAGUUGGUGAGGUAAAGGCUCACCAAGGCGACGAUACAAAGCCGACCUGAGAGGGUGAUCGGCCACACUGGGACUGAGACACGGCCCAGACUCCUACGGGAGGCAGCAGUAGGGAAUCUUCGGCAAUGGACGGAAGUCUGACCGAGCAACGCCGCGUGAGUGAAGAAGGUUUUCGGAUCGUAAAGCUCUGUUGUUAGAGAAGAACGUUGGUAGGAGUGGAAAAUCUACCAAGUGACGGUAACUAACCAGAAAGGGACGGCUAACUACGUGCCAGCAGCCGCGGUAAUACGUAGGUCCCGAGCGUUGUCCGGAUUUAUUGGGCGUAAAGCGAGCGCAGGCGGUUCUUUAAGUCUGAAGUUAAAGGCAGUGGCUUAACCAUUGUACGCUUUGGAAACUGGAGGACUUGAGUGCAGAAGGGGAGAGUGGAAUUCCAUGUGUAGCGGUGAAAUGCGUAGAUAUAUGGAGGAACACCGGUGGCGAAAGCGGCUCUCUGGUCUGUAACUGACGCUGAGGCUCGAAAGCGUGGGGAGCAAACAGGAUUAGAUACCCUGGUAGUCCACGCCGUAAACGAUGAGUGCUAGGUGUUAGGCCCUUUCCGGGGCUUAGUGCCGCAGCUAACGCAUUAAGCACUCCGCU